UAGGGAAUCUUCGGCAAUGGACGGAAGUCUGACCGAGCAACGCCGCGUGAGUGAAGAAGGUUUUCGGAUCGUAAAGCUCUGUUGUAAGAGAAGAACGAGUGUGAGAGUGGAAAGUUCACACUGUGACGGUAUCUUACCAGAAAGGGACGGCUAACUACGUGCCAGCAGCCGCGGUAAUACGUAGGUCCCGAGCGUUGUCCGGAUUUAUUGGGCGUAAAGCGAGCGCAGGCGGUUAGAUAAGUCUGAAGUUAAAGGCUGUGGCUUAACCAUAGUACGCUUUGGAAACUGUUUAACUUGAGUGCAAGAGGGGAGAGUGGAAUUCCAUGUGUAGCGGUGAAAUGCGUAGAUAUAUGGAGGAACACCGGUGGCGAAAGCGGCUCUCUGGCUUGUAACUGACGCUGAGGCUCGAAAGCGUGGGGAGCAAACAGGAUUAGAUACCCUGGUAGUCCACGCCGUAAACGAUGAGUGCUAGGUGUUAGACCCUUUCCGGGGUUUAGUGCCGCAGCUAACGCAUUAAGCACUCCGCCCGGGGAGUACGACCGCAAGGUUG
rnacentral:rRNA from 1 species